GACGAACGCUGGCGGCGUGCUUAACACAUGCAAGUCGAGCGGAGCGGCGAACGGGUGAGUAACGCGUGAGUAACUGCCCCCCUCUCUGGGAUAACAGUUGGAAACGGCUGCUAAUACCGGAUAGUUGGGGAUGGCUCGCGGCCUAUCAGCUUGUUGGUGGGGUGAUGGCCUACCAAGGCGGGGACGGGUAGCCGGCCUGAGAGGGUGGUCGGCCACGUUGGGCUGAGAUACGGCCCAGACUCGUACGGGAGGCAGCAGUGGGGGAUAGGGCACAAUGGGCGAAAGCCUGAUGCAGGGACGCCGCGUGGGGCAUGAAGGUUUUCGGGUUGUAAACCUCUGUCGGUACAGAACGGGUAUGUGCAGAAGAAGCGCCGGCUAACUACGUGCCAGCAGCCGCGGUAAUUC
rnacentral:rRNA from 1 species